rnacentral:rRNA from 1 species
UACGUAGGGGGCAAGCGUUGUCCGGAUUUAUUGGGCGUAAAGAGCGUGUAGGCGGCCAAGCAGGUCCGCUGUGAAAACUCGAGGCUCAACCUCGAGACGUCGGUGGAUACUGUCGGGCUAGAGUGCGGAAGAGGCGAGUGGAAUUCCGUGGUGUAGCGGUGAAAUGCGCAGAUAUCAGGAGGAACACCGGUGGCGAAGGCGGGUCUCUGGGCCGAUGACUGACGUGAGGAGCGAAAGCGUGGGGAGCGAACAGGAUAGAAACCC